GUGUAGGAUUUGGCGACAUCUAGUGGUGAGGUUGUAGAUUGCAACCAACUGAAACUUCUCCAAGUGUGUCAAGCGUGUAGCAGAACGUACGGUGGCUGACG